rnacentral:rRNA from 1 species
UGAGUCGAGCGGACAGAAGGGAGCUUGCUCCCGGAUGUUAGCGGCGGACGGGUGAGUAACACGUGGGUAACCUGCCUGUAAGACUGGGAUAACUCCGGGAAACCGGAGCUAAUACCGGAUAGUUCCUUGAACCGCAUGGUUCAAGGAUGAAAGACGGUUUCGGCUGUCACUUACAGAUGGACCCGCGGCGCAUUAGCUAGUUGGUGGGGUAAUGGCUCACCAAGGCGACGAUGCGUAGCCGACCUGAGAGGGUGAUCGGCCACACUGGGACUGAGACACGGCCCAGACUCCUACGGGAGGCAGCAGUAGGGAAUCUUCCGCAAUGGACGAAAGUCUGACGGAGCAACGCCGCGUGAGUGAUGAAGGUUUUCGGAUCGUAAAGCUCUGUUGUUAGGGAAGAACAAGUGCGAGAGUAACUGCUCGCACCUUGACGGUACCUAACCAGAAAGCCACGGCUAACUACGUGCCAGCAGCCGCGGUAAUACGUAGGUGGCAAGCGUUUGCCGG